UCUUCUGUGGUGUAGUUGGUAGCACCUUGGCUUAGUAAUUAUAGAAGUCCUAGGUUCAAGUCCCAGUUGGGGUAA